GACGAACCGUACGAACGUUAUUCGGAAUCACUGGGCUUAAAGGGUGCGUAGGCGGCGCGGAAAGUUGGGUGUGAAAGCCCUCGGCUCAACCGAGGAAUUGCGCCCAAAACUACCGUGCUUGAGUGAGAUAGAGGUGAGCGGAACUUAGGGUGGAGCGGUGAAAUGCGUUGAUAUCCUAAGGAACACCGGUGGCGAAAGCGGCUCACUGGAUCUUUUCUGACGCUGAGGCACGAAAGCUAGGGGAGCAAACGGG
rnacentral:rRNA from 1 species